UGUAAACCAAGGCGGGCCUCCACCACCCCCGCCCGCCAGAACACUCCAAGCAAAAACUUUAAAAUCAAAGGACUUGACGGUGUUGCAAAUCAACCUAGAGGAGCCUGUCCCAUAAUCGAUAACCCACGCUUCACCUUACCCCCCCUAGCCAGCCGCCUAUAUACCGCCGUCGCCAAGCCUACCUUUUGAAAGAACAACAGUAGACAAAACAGACUUACCGCUCUAACACGUCAGGUCAAGGUGUAGCUAAUGGGGGGGAGUAAAGAUGGGCUACACUCUCUUCACCCAAGAGCCAACCACCGGCUAAAUGAAACAAGUCCAAAAAGCUGGAUUUAGCAGUAACCCUGGCAAGAAAGCCAGCGCUGAAACACGCACUG
rnacentral:rRNA from 1 species